UACGGGGGGGGCAAGCGUUGUUCGGAAUUACUGGGCGUAAAGCGCACGUAGGCGGCUUUGCAAGUUAGAGGUGAAAGCCCGGGGCUCAACUCCGGAAUUGCCUUUAAAACUGCAUCGCUAGAAUUGUGGAGAGGUAAGUGGAAUUCCGAGUGUAGAGGUGAAAUUCGUAGAUAUUCGGAAGAACACCAGUGGCGAAGGCGGCUCACUGGCUCGUAACUGACGCUCAUGCACGACAGCGUGGGGAUCAAACAGG
rnacentral:rRNA from 1 species